rfam:Danio rerio chromosome 4, GRCz11 reference primary assembly.
GAUGAAAUAGCUCAGUUGGGAGUGUGUUAAACUGAAGAUCUAAAGGUUCCUGGUUCGAUCCCGGGUUUCGGCA